GCGGCACGCCUAAUACAUGCAAGUCGAACGAAGUAGCAAUACUUAGUGGCAGACGGGUGAGUAACAUGUAGGUAUCUUCCCUUUGGUGAGGAAUAACACGAGGAAACUUGUGCUAAUACCUCAUAAGUCUUUACGGAGAAAGCUUUAUGCGCCAUUGGAUGAGCCUGCACUUGAUUAGUUAGUUGGUAGGGUAAUGGCCUACCAAGACAUUGAUCAAUAGCUGAUUUGAGAGGAUGAUCAGCCACAUUGGGACUGAGACACGGCCCAAACUCCUACGGGAGGCAGCAGUAGGGAAUCUUGCACAAUGGAGGAAACUCUGAUGCAGCGAUGCCGCGUGAGUGAAGAAGGCCUUUGGGUUGUAAAGCUCUUUCGUCGGGGAAGAAAAUGACUGUACCCGAAUAAGAAGGUCCGGCUAACUUCGUGCCAGCAGCCGCGGUAAUACGAAGGGACCUAGCGUAGUUCGGAAUUACUGGGCUUAAAGAGUUCGUAGGUGGUUAAAAAAGUUGGUGGUGAAAUCCCAGAGCUUAACUCUGGAACUGCCAUCAAAACUUUUUAGCUAGAGUUUGAUAGAGGAAAGCAGAAUUUCUAGUGUAGAGGUGAAAUUCGUAGAUAUUAGAAAGAAUACCGAUUGCGAAGGCAGCUUUCUGGAUCAUUACUGACACUGAGGAACGAAAGCAUGGGUAGCGAAGAGGAUUAGAUACCCUCGUAGUCCAUGCUGUAAACGAUGUGUGUUAGACGUUGGAAAUUUAUUUUCAGUGUCGCAGCGAAAGCAAUAAACACACCGCCUGGGG
rnacentral:rRNA from 1 species